rnacentral:rRNA from 1 species
AUUGAACGCUGGCGGCAUGCUUUACACAUGCAAGUCGAACGGUAACAGGCCGCAAGGUGCUGACGAGUGGCGAAAGGGUGAGUAAUGCAUCGGAACGUGCCCAGUCGUGGGGGAUAACGCAGCGAAAGCUGUGCUAAUACAGCAUACGAUCUAUGGAUGAAAGCGGGGGACCGUAAGGCCUCGCGCGAUUGGAGCGGCCGAUGUCAGAUUAGGUAGUUGGUGGGGUAAAGGCCUACCAAGCCGACAAUCUGUAGCUGGUCUGAGAGGACGACCAGCCACACUGAGACUGAGACACGGCCCAGACUCCUACGGGAGGAAGCAGUGGGGAAUUUUGGACAAUGGGCGCAAGCCUGAUCCAGCAAUGCCGCGUGCAGGAAGAAGGCCUUCGGGUUGUAAACUGCUUUUGUACGGAACGAAACGGUCUGUGCUAAUACCCUGGGCUAAUGACGGUACCGUAAGAAUAAGCACCGGCUAACUACGUGCCAGCAGCCGCCGUAA